rnacentral:tRNA from 1 species
UAAAUUUUAUUUUAAAAAAAAAAUAAUAUUUACAUUAUUAAAAUAUAUAAACACACAUAAUAAAAUAUAUAAAUUUAA